rnacentral:lncRNA from 1 species
UCCUCUUCUUUUCUCUUUUUUUCUUUUCAUCUUCAUCUUCUUCUUCUUUCUUAUUUUUUUUAUUCUUUCUUCUUUUUUCUCUCUCUACCCACCGCGUCUCUUCUUUCUCUCUCUCCUCUUUUCUCUCUUUAACCGAUGGUGAUUCCUCUCAUAUUUCUUUCUCCUUCGAUUGCAGCAUCACACAACACCGUGCGACCCUUCUCUCUUUUCCGUCGAUGCCAUUCGGUCCUCUCUCUUCUCUAGCUAUUUUUUUUCUUCCAUUCUUUUCUUUUUCUGUUACUUAAUUAUAUAUAUACGUAUAUAUAUAUAUAUAUAUUAUAUGGCCACGUGUUUUCUUCUUCUGCUCCCAGAGUACAUUCUGGGUUCUUCUUUUCUUUCUUUCUUUAAUUUUUUUCUUUUAUUUAAUUAUAUAUAUCCAUAUACAUAUACAUAUACAUAUAUAUAUAUAUUCCAUAGGUUUUGUUUUUUCUUUAUUUUUUUGUACUGAGUAUUACAAAUCUCCCCCUUAAAAUAAUUUGGCGCUCCAAAUUUCUCGUCAAUGAAUUGGAAUCACUCAUCUCCCUACUUAGGAAAAUUUUUAUUUGUUAGUACGGUAUUUUCUCUCAUUAAGAAGGCGUUUAUCUCUGUUACUUGGAGAAAUUCCUCUCGUGUGCAAAUCUCCUCUCCUAAAAAAUUUAAUCUUUUAAAUUUUCAUUUACGAGAACUUGAAACAGCCAUCCAUGUAUUCUAUUGACAUUUUCGUCAACAGAUUAGAGUGGUUAUGACAUAUUCUUUAAUGGAAUCAUUUUAUCUUCUAAUGUUUUCUUUUUCAAUUUCUUACUAAUGAAAGUCUGCAGGUUUAAGGGUGUUUUUGUAUCCAAUUAUCUUUAUAUUCUUCCUCAGUGUAAGGGAGCUUAUUUUUUUAAAUUUAUCGUUGUAAUGAUUUUGUUAUCAAAAUACUUCUUUAGGGACUUUGUUUCAUCUCUCUUUGAAAGUUAAUUUUAUAAGCACGGUCAUUCAGGAACUUAGGUUCCAAUCAAGUGGUGUUGUUACAAUAUUUCCAUUGGGUGAAAAUAUAUUUGGUGAA